rnacentral:rRNA from 1 species
AGUGAACGCUGGCGGUAGGCCUAACACAUGCAAGUCGAACGGCAGCACAGUAAGAGCUUGCUCUUACGGGGGGCGAGUGGCGGACGGGAGAGGAAUACAUCCGAAUCUACUCUUUCGUGGGGGAUAACGUAGGGAAACUUACGCCAAUAUCGCAUACGACCUACGGGUGAAAGCAGUGGAUCGUCGGACCUUGCGCGAUUGAAUGAGCCGCUGUCGGAUUAGCUAGUUGGCGGGGUAAAGGCCCACCAAGGCGACGAUCCGUAGCUGGAGUGAGUGGAUGGUCAGCCACACUGGAGGUGGGACAGCGACCAUACUCCUAAGGGAGGGAGCAGAGGGCAAUAUUAGGCAAUGGGGGGGAAUCUGGUCCAAUCGUACCGCGUCGGUGGCAGAGACGUCCGGGUUGUAAAGCCCUCUUGUUGGGAAAGAAACGCAUCCGGCUAAUACGACGCUGUUCUGACGGUAACGAAAAAAUAAGCACCGGCUAACUUCGUG